CUGCUUGAAGAUGGACGUUGUGAAGUAACACAUGGGCACAGUGUCUGUCAGCAGGGUUCUGGUGCCGAGCAGGUUGAAGCUGGAGCCCAAUCCUCACCGGAGCUUCUUUUCCUCACCGCAGACGCUCUGACUCUGCCGUGCGUGGACCUACAAGCCUCCCUGCAUAUCCAUGCGACGGCUGACACGUUAGCCAACCUUGACGGAGCACGUCAGCUGGAGCCACAAAGCGGGGGUCCUGGGUUUAUUACACCCUUAGGUCCUCUGAGUUUCGGCUCUUCUCUCAUCCGUCAGGCAGCCGACGACUCGGAAGGAGACCGACCUCGGCCCGAGAGGCUUCGCACUGACAACGGGGACCUCGGUUGUGAUCACGUACAACCCUCCGCUCCGUGGCCAGCCUCAGAUGGAAUUACUGACAGAGCAUCUGCGGAAGGUGACGAGGAGCUUAUUCACAAAAAGGAAAACGCAGUCGAGUCCUCGCCAGAGGGACAAUGCAAACGCAGAGCGGACGCGUCUUUGUUUCUCCCCACUGAGCAAAAAAUAGCAAUCGAGGAUAUUCACGAACUGAGCAGAGAGCUGUCAAACCUGGCACCAGUGCCUGCAGAUCAUUUUAUCAUCUCAGAGGAGAACCAUGUUGCCUUUAUUACUUUAGAGUUAAAUGAUCCAUUUUUCUUCUGGACGCCUAAACCUCGAAGGACAGAUCUCCAAUUUGAGGUUGAUCGGGAAACGGUAGAAGAGAUGCCUCACAAAACCCACAAGAGCGCGGAGAGCAAAGCCCGCUCCAAAAAGGACAAAGCGGGCGGACAUCACCAUGGGCCUCAGGUGUCAAAGAAGCCCGAGGCUCCGCACGGUUCUGCCCAACACUCCAGCAACAAGCAGGACGCCCGUCCUCACGCCAGGGACGAUCACGCGCCUCCAGGGCCCGAAGACAGGGAGAAUGAGGCGCCCGAGCCGCACGCGGCCGCUGAGGCGGCUCCAAGCAAACCACAGGCCAAAAAGAAAAAGAAACAAGGCCAGAGCGCGGCAGCGCGGAGUCCGGCGCCGGCCGACGUGGAGACACCCAAGAGCGCCAAAGGACGGAUUGAGAUGUUUGAAGCCAAGCUGGGAGCGGCCGCUGGGAGAGCUGGGAAGGAGCGCGAUCGAGCAGACGGUACUGGGAGGAAGUCCCAGCAGACAGAGGACAAGGCUGCGCGGGGACAGCCCCCUCCCGACUGCAGGGAUCCGAAAGACGCGCCGCCCAAGAGCUGCGGCGCCGCCCUGCAGGACGACGUGGUCAAGAGGCGCCGCUUGUCCGGGGACAAGUUCGGGAAGAUCGUCAGCGUCCUGGAGCCGAAGGCGCCGGAGACGGGGGUUUGUGUGAAGGCGGAGGGAGACGAAGCCGAGCCGGAGGCCGGAGCCACUCGUAGGAAAGCCUACAGCGACGUGGUGAAACAGAAAGCCCCGCCUCCGGAAGAGCCCACGGUCGUGCAGCCGAUCCAGGCCGCGGCCGUGAGCGGCGACGCCCAGAGCCUGCGCCUGUGGUGCCAGUUCGCCCGCGCCUCCUGCGACCACACUGUGACCUGGAGCCGGGAGGGCGCCGUCCUGGCGGAGGUCCGGAGAAGGUACUGGGGCUCCACCGUGCAUGAGAUGGGGGGGCGGCGGGGGAGGUGGGGUCGAGGGGUGGUUGUGACGCGGUUCCUGUCGCUGAAGUGCAGGGGACGAGAGCCGGGCGUCGCUCACCAUCUCCAACGCCUCUCACAAGGACCUGGGCAGGUACCACUGCAGCCUCAGCAGCCCGCGUGGGUCCACCAGCCUGGACUUCCUGCUGACGUAUGA
ensembl:lncRNA